rnacentral:rRNA from 1 species
AUUGAACGCUGGCGGCGUGCUUAACACAUGCAAGUCGAUCGGUAACGCGGGGGCAACCCUGGCGACGAGAGGCGGACGGGUGAGGAACGCUUGGGAAUCUGCCUAUCAGCGGGGGACAACACGGGGAAACUCGUGCUAAUACCGCAUACGCUCUACGGAGGAAAGCCGGGGACCGCAAGGCCUGGCACUGAUAGAUGAGCCCAAGCCGGAUUAGCUAGUUGGCGGGGUAACGGCCCACCAAGGCGACGAUCCGUAGCUGGUCUGAGAGGACGAUCAGCCACACUGGGACUGAGACACGGCCCAGACUCCGACGGGAGGCAGCAGUGGGGAAUAUUGGACAAUGGGGGAAACCCUGAUCCAGCGACGCCGCGUGGGUGAAGAAGCCCUGCGGGUUGUAAAGCCCUUCCGGUAGGGACGAAAGCUCUCGACCUAACACGUCGGGAGGUUGACUUAACCUACAGAAGAAGCACCGGCUAACUCUGUGCCAGCCGCCGCAGUAAGAC